AAACAGAAAAUGGAUGCUAUUUCAACAAAACGUGGCUCAGCCCGGAACACAAGGUUUACAGUACUCAGCCUUGCCAGAUGGUAGAGUGCGAUGCGAAUCGAACCAUCUAUAUAACUACGUGCCCUAUAAAGAACCUCACUGGCUGCACACCUAUAGUGGACAAUAGACCCUUCCCCAAGUGCUGCCGGAGAUGUCAGGAUUGAAGGCAAUAAACUUCGCACUAUGGUCGCACAUACCUUCGAAAGACCUAGAUGUACUAACAUAUGACUAUUACAGGCGGCCAUCUUGACUGUUGUUUAAGAAAUUCCUUCAAAAACGAACAGCGCAUGAAAUAAAGCUAUCUUUAUCCUUC